rnacentral:rRNA from 1 species
AAUUUUGGACAAUGGGGGAAACCCUGAUCCAGCAAUGCCGCGUGCAGGAUGAAGGCCUUCGGGUUGUAAACUGCUUUUGUACGGAACGAAAAGUCUUGGGCUAAUACCAUGGGCUCAUGACGGUACCGUAAGAAUAAGCACCGGACAACUACGUGCAAGCAGCCGAGGUAAUACGUAGGGGGCAAGCGUUACUCGGUAUUACUGGGCGUAACGCGUGCGCAGGCGGUUUGGUAAGACAGUGGUGAAAUCCCCGGGCUCAACCUGGGAACUGCCAUUGUGACUGCAAGGCUGGAGUGCGGCAGAGGGGGAUGGAAUUCCGCGUGUAGCAGUGAAAUGCGUAGAUAUGCGGAGGAACACCGAUGGCGAAGGCAAUCCCCUGGGCCUGCACUGACGCUCAUGCACGAAAGCGUGGGGAGCAAACAGG